GUGGCUGUGGCUCAAUGGUAGAGUGCUUACCUGGUAUGUAUGAGGCCAUGGGUUCAGUCCCCAGCACAACA
rnacentral:tRNA from 1 species